rnacentral:rRNA from 1 species
CAGGGAACGGGCUAAGCCGGAACGGAGCUUGCUCCUUGAUUCAUCGGCGGACGGGUGAGUAAUGCCUAGGAAUCUGCCUGGUAGUGGGGGACAACGUUUCGAAAGGAACGCUAAUACCGCAUACGUCCUACGGGAGAAAGCAGGGGACCUUCGGGCCUUGCGCUAUCAGAUGAGCCUAGGUCGGAUUAGCUAGUUGGUGAGGUAAUGGCUCACCAAGGCGACGAUCCGUAACUGGUCUGAGAGGAUGAUCAGUCACACUGGAACUGAGACACGGUCCAGACUCCUACGGGAGGCAGCAGUGGGGAAUAUUGGACAAUGGGCGAAAGCCUGAUCCAGCCAUGCCGCGUGUGUGAAGAAGGUCUUCGGAUUGUAAAGCACUUUAAGUUGGGAGGAAGGGCAGUAAGUUAAUACCUUGCUGUUUUGACGUUACCGACAGAAUAAGCACCGGCUAACUCUGUGCCAGCAGCCGCGGUAAUACAGAGGGUGCAAGCGUUAAUCGGAAUUACUGGGCGUAAAGCGCGCGUAGGUGGUUCGUUAAGUUGGAUGUGAAAGCCCCGGGCUCAACCUGGGAACUGCAUCCAAACUGGCGAGCUAGAGUACGGUAGAGGGUGGUGGAAUUUCCUGUGUAGCCGGUGAAAUGCGUAGAUAUAGGAGGAACACCAGUGGCGAAGCGACCACCUGGAU